rnacentral:rRNA from 1 species
CGUAGGUGGUUUGAUAAGCGAGAUGUGAAAGCCCCGGGCUUAACCUGGGAACGGCAUUUCGAACUGUCAGGCUAGAGUAUGGUAGAGGGUAGUGGAAUUUCCUGUGUAGCGGUGAAAUGCGUAGAUAUAGGAAGGAACACCAGUGGCGAAGGCGGCUACCUGGACCAAUACUGACACUGAGGUGCGAAAGCGUGGUGAGCAAACA